CAUGUGGGUGUGCAGGAGGGAAGAGCUCCCAUCUCCGGGGAUCUUCCAUGACAUUCUCCAUGACAGCAGGCCAACAGGAAGUGGCAGAACCUUCAUGACAAAGCAUUGGAGUGCUGCUUCUAGUGUGAAUCCUGUCAUGGAUAGGACCAUGUAUCCUGUACACUCUCCAGGUGCCCAGUGAAUAUGAGCUUCUCUGAACUGACUGAAGACCACAAGAUGAAAACUGGAAACUCGCAGCCUUCAUACAACAAGGCAUCUGGUAUGGAAGCGUUCAGUGCGGGCUUCUCUGGCUGAUACACUCGCCAUGGACCUUGCUAUCCCUGAGCUGGGACCCUAAUGGAUGUGCAUGAGUUUGUCUCCAACUUGUAAAAAAUGUGCUUUUGCAAGAAUGAGUGAAUCACAGACUGAAAGAAUAUAUUUACAAUGCAUACACCUGACAAAGGUUUCACAUCCAGAAUAUAUAAAGAUUUCCUAGAAAUGCGCAAUAAAAAGACAACUCAAAAAAA
ensembl:lncRNA NAV2-IT1 NAV2 intronic transcript 1